CAUCGCGAUGCCCUCUUCAAAUGGGACAUCGUGAUGAGGAUAUUGUCAAAGCGUCAGCUCAAGGAGUUGGUUCUGUACUCGCCGCAAAACAUCGCACGACUGGAAAAGUCCGGGCAAUUUCCCAAGUGGGUAAACCGUGGUCCUUGCCGAGUGGGGUGGAUUGGGGACGAAGUGCUCGACUGGCUCCAGCAACGACUGGAUCGCCGAGAAGCACCUAGCCGACACUCCUCUUGAAGGAGCGAGUGGCCGUGUUUGCUAGCCC
rnacentral:ncRNA from 1 species